UCGAGAAUCUUCCGCAAUGGACGAAAGUCUGACGGAGCGACGCCGCGUGCGGGAUGAAGGCCCUCGGGUUGUAAACCGCUGUCAGUUGGGAGGAAAUGCAUAAGGGUUCUCUCUUAUGUUUGACCGAUCUUCAGAGGAAGUCCGGGCUAAGUUCGUGCCAGCAGCCGCGGUAAGACGAACCGGACGAACGUUAUUCGGAAUCACUGGGCUUAAAGAGUGCGUAGGCGGCUUGGUAGGUUGGGUGUGAAAUCCCACAGCUCAACUGUGGAACUGCGCUCAAAACCACCAAGCUUGAGGAAGGCAGAGGUGAGCGGAACUGAUGGUGGAGCGGUGAAAUGCGUUGAUAUCAUCAGGAACACCGGUGGCGAAGGCGGCUCACUGGGCCUUUUCUGACGCUGAGGCACGAAAGCUAGGGUAGCGAACAGGAUUAGAUACCCCCGUAGUCC
rnacentral:rRNA from 1 species